rnacentral:rRNA from 1 species
CGGGGGAGCAAGCGUUGUUCGGAUUUACUGGGCGUAAAGGGCGCGUAGGCGGCCACUGCAAGUCGGUUGUGAAAUCUCCGGGCUUAACCCGGAAAGGUCAACCGAUACUGCAGGGCUAGAGUGCAGAAGGGGCAACUGGAAUUCUCGGUGUAGCGGUGAAAUGCGUAGAUAUCGAGAGGAACACCUGCGGCGAAGGCGGGUUGCUGGGCUGACACUGACGCUGAUGCGCGAAAGCUAGGGGAGCGAACGGGAUUAGAUACCCCGGUAGUCCUAGCCUUAAACGAUGAAUGCUUGGUGUCUGGGGUUUUAUAGUCCCCGGGUGCCGUCGCUAACGCUUUAAGCAUUCCGCCUGGGGAGUACGGUCGCAAGACUG